UUUAUCACAAGUAAGUAUAGAAAGAGUGAAAUACGAAGCACGUUUUUGUAUAACAAUUUCCAACCUACAUGAUUAAUUUCAGACCAUUUUACGGUUUUAGCGUUGUGUAUAAAUGCGCGCCGGCGCUAACUAGCAUACAUUUCUCGUGCAGGUUGGCUGUUAUAAAGUUUCCAAACUGACCAAAUACCAACAAAUGACUUCUGAAGAAGGGUGGAUUUAUUUGUAGUUUAGUUAAACAAUAAUUUGCCCCGUCAGUGAUAUGGUUUGAAUGCUGCCUGAACGUUCCGAAUUUGGCAGACACGGUGAGGACAAUGCUGAGGAAAAUUGCCACAAACAAAGUCCUGGAGCAGCUUGGCCUCCGUGGAAAGUCAGGAAAAGUGGCAUUUGAGGACUUGCCCCUUUACAGAAUAAUAAAUAAGGCAUGCAGGGGUGUUUACAAGCAGAUGACCACAGCUGAAGUGGAUUGCGAGCUUGGAGAGGUCCUGAAACUGGCCACUUUUCGAAAGGGAGGUUCAAAAUUUGAGAUACGGAGAAGAUAAGAUAUCCCAAUUUUGAAUUCCCAUUUUAUUGAAGUUCCACUGCAUGUCUUUUGAAUUUGCAAUUAUAACUACUUGCAGGAGAAGAGGAGGAAUUAAGAGGGAGGACAAAAAAGGAAAAAGAAACAAGCAAAAUAACAGAGUGAGAUGAGAGAUGGCUCCUUCUUUUGUGGUCGUUGAGUUCCUUGGUGAACAUUCAGUCGCUGUUGUCCCAACCAAAUGGACAGAAGAUGAUGGAAAGAAUACCUUCUGCUAUUGGCCAAGGCCAAAUCCUACCCACUCCAGAAUCCGGAAAGCUGAGAUUCCUGACAAACAAUUCUGGGAGAGGCUGCCAAUUCGGGUUUUCAGGAAAACAUUGACUGAAGACUUUGACAAGGCCCUUCAAUACGAAAAACAAGCUAAAAUGUUUUCGAGCCCAGAAGAAGUGUUAACCAAACGGAGCCACAUCACCCCUGAACGCUAUAGAA